UCAUCGUUAAAUAAGUGCAAUUGAUGGAUGCCUAGACUUCAUCAGGCUAUGAAGGACGCAGCAAGCUGCGAUAAUCUCCGACUAGCGGCACGCACGCUUUAACUCGGAGGUCUCCGAAUGGGAAAACCCGGCUCAAUUUGAGUCAUAACGUCACAAAUAAUUACUGACGUUAAGCAAUACGUGGUGAAGUGAAACAUCUCAGUAACCACAGGAAGAGAAAGAAAUUCGAUUCCGAUAGUAGCGGCGAGCGAAAUCGGAACAGCCCAAACCGGUAGAAUUUAUUCUACCGGUGUUAUAGGACUACUGUAUCCGCUAAAUGUCUUAUGUAAACGCAUUGGAAACUGCGACCAUAGAGAGUGAUAGUCUCGUUACUUAAAAGACAAAUAGUGGUAGUAGUAUCCUGAGUAGCACCGCACACGUGAAAUUCGGUGUGAAUUUGUGCCGACCACGGCAUAAGGCUAAAUACUAGAUGAAGAUCGACAGUGAACUAGUACCGCGAGGGAAAGGUGAAAAGAACCCCUAUUAGGGGAGUGAAAAGCAACUGAAAUCAAUUGCAUACAAGUCAGUGGAAGCUCUACCGAGUGACCGCCUGCCUUUUGUAUAAUGAGUCUGCGAGUUAUUGUUAUUGGCAAGUUUUUUCCGUUUAACGGAGGUGGCGCAGCGAAAGCGAGUCCUAAUUGGGCUUUAGCCUAUAGCAAUAGACCCGAAGCGGAGGUGAUCUAACCAUGAUCAGGAUGAAGCAUAAGUAAAAUUAUGUGAAGGUCCGAACCGGUCAACCUUGAGAAGUUGUCGGAUGAAUUGUGGUUAGGAGCGAAAGACUAAUCAAACCCCGUGAUAGCUGGUUCUUUCCGAAAUAUAUUUGGGUAUAGCGUCAAUCUCUAAACUACGAAGGUAGAGCACUAAAUAAGCUAGGGCCCCUGCCGGGGUACUGAACUUAAUUAAACUCCGAAUGUCGUGGUGUGUAGAUUGGCAGUCAGACUGUGUGGGAUAACCUUCAUAGUCAAAAGGAGAACAAUCCAGACCAUCAGUUAAGGUCCCUAAAUAUGACUCAGUGUUAAAGGAUGUGAUUUUGCAUAGACAAUGGGGAUGUUGGCUUAGAGGCAGCCAUCAUUUAAACAGUGCGUAACAGCUGACCCAUCGAGCGAAAUUGCGCCAAAAAUGAUCGGGACUUAAGUCAUAUACCGAAGCUAUGGGCGGCCUAGUGCCGCGGUAGGAAAGCGUCCCAAUUACUGCGAAGGGAAAAGGAUACUUUUUCUGGAGUGUUUGGGAGUGAGAAUGCAGACAUAAGUAACGAUAAAGCCAGCAGAAAUCUGGCUCGCCGAAAUCCCAAGGAUUCCUAGGGAAGGUUCGUCCUCCUAGGGUUAGUCGGGUGCUAAGACGAGGCCGUAAGGAGUAGUCGAUGCCAAGCAGGUUUUAUAUUCCUGCACCGUAAUGAUAUCGUUAUUUCAAAAAAUGACGGAGAUUGGUAAAGCAGCAAUGUGUUGAAUCAUUGUUUCGUUGUUAAUUGGCUGAUGAUCUUAAUUGGUUUUCAGCUAGAGGCAUCUGAGAUCCGAAGACUUCGGUUAACGGAGAUUGCUUGAUCCUUCACUUCCAAGAAAAGUUUUUUGAAUAGAUAUCAAUAUGCCCGUACCGUAAACCGACACAGGUGGGAUAGAUGAGUAUUCUAAGGCGCUCAGGUUAAUUCUCUCUAAGGAACUCGGCAAAUUAACCCCGUAUCUUCGGUAUAAGGGGUGCCUCAUAACUGAGGCCGCAGUUAAUUGCGUCAACCGACUGUUUAGCAAAAACACAGCACUCUGCUAAGUCGCAAGACGACGUAUAGGGUGUGACACGUGACCAAUGCGGAAAGGUGAAAAUCUUGGGUGCAAGCUCAGGAUCUAAGCCCCCGUGAAUGUCGGCCGUAACUAUAACGGUCCUAAGGUAGCGAAAUUCCUUGUCGGGUAAGUUCCGACCCGCACGAAUCGUGUAACGAGUUGACGACUGUCUCGGAGAGAGGCCUGGUGAAAUUGUAGUGGCGGUGAAGAUGCCGCCUUCCUGCAGCAGGACGGAAAGACCCUAUGCACCUUUACUGUAAGCUGUUAUUGUCGCUUGAUUUUCAAUACGUAGAAUAGGUGGGAGACUUAGAAGCCUUGUCUCAGGACGAGGUUGAGUCGCAAUAUGAAAUACCACUUUUUGUUUGUUAGGCGUCUAACCUUUCAUCCUAAUCGGGUAAAGGAACAUUGAUAGCAGGUCAGUUUUUCUGGGGCGGAAUCCUCCCAAAGAGUAACGGAGGAUUGCGAAGGUUCCCUCGGCCCGGUCGGUAAUCGGGCUAACGAGCGCAUGAGUAUAAGGGAGCUUUACUGUGAGACCAACAAGUCGAUCAGUUGCGAAAGCAGGCUCAAGUGAUCCGGUGGUUGAAUGUGGAAUCGCCAUCGCUCAUAGGACAAAAGGUACGCUAGGGAUAACAGGCUGAUCGCGCCCAAGCGUUCACAGCGACGGCGCGGUUUGGCACCUCGAUGUCGGCUCAUCACAUCCUGGG
rnacentral:rRNA from 1 species